CCAAAAAUGGUUCGCCUUUAAAGACCAUUAAUUAUGGUGCCGCCUUCAUUAGAUGAAUGUUAACAUGGGACUAAAAGGGAACCCAGCUAAAAAUAUUUAUUUUCCAAGAAAGUGGGAAUAUGCUGCCAUCCUAAUCGUGGUAAAUAAAGUGCCAGCAACCGCGGUCAUACUUUAGCGAAAUGAAGGAAUAUAGGCAUCUUUUAGGGAAAAACUAAUUAACUAGUGAAAUGGAAAAGCUAGCUUCUCAAUUAACCUAUAUUUAAAAGCUGGGAACAAACAGGGAUUAGAGACCCCUCUAUGCAGCGUACACACUAAUGCCUGGGGUACUAUCUUACAAAUAUAAACCCAACUAAUAUGGCGGUGGUUAAAACAUUUAGGGGAACUUACAAGAUAAUUGAUAACCACCAAGAAAUUCUUCGGAGGGUUAUAUUUUGUAUACCGUCGUCGAGAUAACCUAUAAUAGGUUAUUAGUAAGUUAAAAACAUUAAGACAGAUCAAGGUGCCGACAAUCCUUCCGCCUUUGCGAGUUACGAUAAAAAAUAAAUUCUAUAAGUAGCGAAUGCCAAAAAAUAGUAGGACUUAACUGUAAGUUUUAUUAAACUUAAAAUAUGAACAACAAUUUAACCGUGC
rnacentral:rRNA from 1 species